UUCGAUAUCUGUGUAUAAUCUCGUUUUUCAUAGUUAUUUAUUGCUUUUUUCUAAAUAUAAUUUUUGUAUUCCUGGGAUAUACAAAAAUAUACAAAUUUACAAAAAAAAAAUAAAAAAAUAUUUUAAUUGUUUUCUGAAAAAAAUUCAAAAUUUUAUGAAAAUGGGAAAAGGUGUCGCAAUCGACUCAAAUUCAUCUCGCGAUCGACUGGUUGGCCACCCCUGGUAUAAGGUACCUAUUAUAAAAGCUAUACGACGAAACAACUCUACGGCGGCGGGUAUAGCAUAAUAUCAGGGUGGUAUAGAGGUGCUUGUACAUAAUACAUAUUUCUACGAAAUUCAAAGCGAUUCGGGAAGCAUAUUUGCAUUGUGCCACUCAUUCGCGUUAGAACAGCACAGCCCCGUUUGAGAUGGCACUGAAUUGAUUACUGUAUUCGUACGCCGCGGCAUUUCGCGGGACCGCGGUCGUCCGCCUUUGAAAACGCCGUCCGAUCACUUUCCUGUGGACUUAUAGCGGACAUGAAUAACGAGGACAAUAUCAUACACACUACGACGUGACAGGUAUACAGCAUUUGAGCGAGUACCGGCGGCACCCUCUGCCGAUCGUCCGAAGAGGAGCAGCACCGUGUGCUUUCGGGGGUGGCGGUGGCGGUGAUUUGG